GUGGGGAAUCUUAGACAAUGGGGGAAACCCUGAUCUAGCCAUGCCGCGUGAUCGAUGAAGGCCUUAGGGUUGUAAAGAUCUUUCGCUGGGGAAGAUAAUGACUGUACCCAGUAAAGAAGCCCCGGCUAACUCCGUGCCAGCAGCCGCGGUAAUACGGAGGGGGCUAGCGUUAUUCGGAAUUACUGGGCGUAAAGCGCACGUAGGCGGACCAGAAAGUUGGGGGUGAAAUCCCGGGGCUCAACCUCGGAACUGCCUUCAAAACUCCUGGUCUUGAGUUCGAGAGAGGUGAGUGGAAUUCCGAGUGUAGAGGUGAAAUUCGUAGAUAUUCGGAGGAACACCAGUGGCGAAGGCGGCUCACUGGCUCGAUACUGACGCUGAGGUGCGAAAGCGUGGGGAGCAAACAGGAUUAGAUACCCCUGUAGUCC
rnacentral:rRNA from 1 species